GGUCAAGUCAUCAAGGGCACACGGUGGAUGUCUUGGCGUCGAGAGGCGAUGAAGGACGUUGGAACCUGCGAUAUGCCCAGGGGAGCUGGUAACCGAGCUUUGAUCCUGGGAUUUCCGAAUGGGGAAACCCGGCCCGUAAGGGUCAUCCGUAUCUGAAUGCAUAGGGUACGGAAGCGAACGCGGUGAACUGAAACAUCUCAGUAACCGUAGGAAAGGAAAGCAACAGCGACUCCGUAAGUAGCGCCGAGCGAAAGCGGAUUAGCCGGAAUGCAUUGCGAACUGCCUGGAAAGGUGGACGAUACAAGGUGAUAGUCCUGUAGCAAUGUUGCCGGUGAGGCCUAGAGUAGGUCCGGGCUCGUGAAACCCGGUCUGAACAUGGGGGGACCACCCCCCAAGCCUAAGUACUCCUCGACGACCGAUAGUGAACCAGUAACGUGAGUGAACGAUGAAAAGCACCCCGACAAGGGGAGUGAAAAGUACCUGAAACCGUGUGCUUACAAGCGGUCGGAGCCCUUCGGGGUGACGGCGUGCCUUUUGCAUAAUGAGCCGACGAGUUACUCUCUGUGGCAAGGCUAAGCUGAAUCCCAGCGCAGCCGAAGGGAAACCGAGUCUUAAAAGGGCGUCGAGUCGCAGGGAGUAGACGCGAAACCCGUUGAUCUACCCAUGGGCAGGUUGAAGGGAGGGUAAAACCUCUUGGAGGACCGAAGCCUUGAACGUUGAAAAGUUCUGGCAUGACCUGUGGGGAGGAGUUAAAGUCUAAUCAUAACGGGAGAUAUCUCGUUCUCUCCGAAAUAGUUUUUGGACUAGCCUUACGUUAUAUCCUGCGGGGGUAGAGCGACUGGAUGGGGCUGGGGGGCCACAAGCCUACCCACCUCAACCAAACUCCGAAUACCGCAGUGACUUAUCGUGGGAGUAAGACUACGGGGGAUAAUCUCCGUGGUCAAAAGGGAAACAGCCCAGACCGCCGGUUAAGGCCCCUAAAUACACCUCAGUUGAAAAGGUAGUCAGAUUGCAGUGACAGCCAGGAUGUUGGCUUAGAAGCAGCCACCAUUUAAAAAGUGCGUAACAGCUUACUGGUCGAGGAAUCUGGCGCCGAUAAUGAUCGGGGAUAAGGUGUAUGCCGAAACCGCGGACGUCUUCGGACGUGGUAGGAGAGCGUAGCUAUCAGCGUUGAAGCUUGCCCGGAAGGGCUGGUGGAGCGGUAGCUAGUGAAUAUGUCGGCUUGAGUAACGAUAAACGGAGUGAGAAUCUCCGUCGCCGAAAACCUAAGGUUUCCUGGGGAAGGUAAUUCCGCCCAGGGUUAGGCGGUACCUAAGGCGAGGCCGAAAGGCGUAGUCGAUGGACAGCAGGUUAAUAUUCCUGCCCUUUCAUGUGAGGUUGAUCCGGCGUGACGGAUCAUGAAGUUCGACGGCACAGUGAAGCGUGCAGGCCUUCGGGCCGAUGUCGGGUGGAUUGGUUCCAAGAAAAGCCGUCCGGGGACGAUCAUGGAAGCCGUACUAAAACUGACACAGGUAGGUGUGGCGAAAAGCCUCAGGCGCUCGAGAUAAUGGUCGUGAAGGAACUAGGCAAAUUGACCCCGUACGUUCGCAAUAAGGGGGCCCUCCUCGCAAGAGAGGGCGCAGAGAAGAGGCUCUGGGGACUGUUUAUCAAAAACACAGCACUGUGCUAACUCGCAAGAGGACGUAUACAGUGUGACGCCUGCCCGGUGCCGGAAGGUUAAGGGAGUCGGUUAGCUUCGGCGAAGCUGGCGACCGAAGCCCCGGUAAACGGCGGCCGUAACUAUGACGGUCCUAAGGUAGCGAAAUUCCUUGUCGGGUAAGUUCCGACGCGCAUGAAUGGCGUAACCACUGGAGCACUGUCUCCACGACCAACUCGGUGAAAUAGUAGUGGCGGUGAAGAUGCCGCCUACCCGCAGCAAGACGGAAAGACCCCGUGGAGCUUUACUGUACGCUUGCACUGGUCACGGAUUUAUUCUGCGUAGGAUAGGUGGGAGGCUUUGAAACCGGGAUUCUGGUCCUGGUGGAGCCAUCCUUGAAAUACCACCCUGAAUACAUUUGUGGCCUAACCCUGAUUCCCAUGAAGCUGGGCAGGGGACAAUGCAUGCCGGGCAGUUUGACUGGGGCGGUCUCCUCCUAAAAAGUAACGGAGGAGCGCAAAGGUCAGCUCAGUGCGGUUGGAAACCGCAUGAUAGAGUGUAAGUGCAUAAGCUGGCUUUACUGCGAGACAUACAAGUCAAGCAGUCUCGAAAGAGGGCACUAGUGAUCCGGCAGUUCUGUGUGGAAGGGCUGUCGCUCAACGGAUAAAAGCUACCCCGGGGAUAACAGGCUGAUCGCUCCCGAGCGUCCAUAGCGGCGGAGCGGUUUGGCACCUCGAUGUCGGCUCAUCACAUCCUGGGGCUGAAGGCGGUCCCAAGGGUUCGGCUGUUCGCCGAUUAAAGUGGUACGCGAGCUGGGUUCAGACCGGCGUGAGCCAGGUCGGUCCCUAUCUGCUGUGGGCGUUGCAAUGUUGAGAGGAAACUUCUUUAGUACGAGAGGAUUGGGAAGGACGCACCCCUGGUGAGCCAGUUGGACCGCUCGGUCCACCGCUGGGUAGCUAAGUGCGGCAGGGAUAACCGCUGAAAGCAUCUAAGCGGGAAGCCCACCUCGAGAUGAGCAUUGCUUUGAGACCCCCGAAAGACUAUCGGGUUGAUAGGUCGCACGUGUAAGUGCCGAAAUGCAUUCAGCGAAGCGAUACUAACGGUCGAAGAUUUGACCGU
rnacentral:rRNA from 1 species